rnacentral:rRNA from 1 species
AUUGAACGCUGGCGGCAGGCCUAACACAUGCAAGUCGAGCGGUAGAGAGAAGCUUGCUUCUCUUGAGAGCGGCGGACGGGUGAGUAAUGCCUAGGAAUCUGCCUGGUAGUGGGGGAUAACGUUCGGAAACGGACGCUAAUACCGCAUACGUCCUACGGGAGAAAGCAGGGGACCUUCGGGCCUUGCGCUAUCAGAUGAGCCUAGGUCGGAUUAGCUAGUUGGUGAGGUAAUGGCUAACAAAGGCGACGAUCCGUAACUGGUCUGAGAGGAUGAUCAGUCACACUGGAACUGAGACACGGUCCAGACUCCUACGGGAGGCAGCAGUGGGGAAUAUUGGACAAUGGGCGAAAGCCUGAUCCAGCCAUGCCGCGUGUGUGAAGAAGGUCUUCGGAUUGUAAAGCACUUUAAGUUGGGAGGAAGGGUUGUAGAUUAAUACUCCGCAAUUUUGACGUUACCGACAGAAUAAGCACCGGCUAACUCUGUGCCAGCCGCCGCCGUAA